GGGUUGUGAGGUUAAGCGACUAAGCGUACACGGUGGAUGCCCUGGCAGUCAGAGGCGAUGAAGGACGUGCUAAUCUGCGAAAAGCGUCGGUAAGGUGAUAUGAACCGUUACAGCCGGCGAUGUCCGAAUGGGGAAACCCAGUGCAAUUCGUUGCACUAUCGUUAACUGAAUACAUAGGUUAACGAGGCGAACCGGGGGAACUGAAACAUCUAAGUACCCCGAGGAAAAAGAAAUCAACCGAGAUUCCCCCAGUAGCGGCGAGCGAACGGGGAGCAGCCCAGAGUCUGAAUCAGCUUGUGUGUUAGUGGAACGGUCUGGAAAGUCCGACGGUACAGGGUGAUAGUCCCGUACACCAAAAUGCACAGGCUGUGAACUCGAAGAGUAGGGCGGGACACGUGGUAUCCUGUCUGAAUAUGGGGGGACCAUCCUCCAAGGCUAAAUACUCCUGACUGACCGAUAGUGAACCAGUACCGUGAGGGAAAGGCGAAAAGAACCCCGGCGAGGGGAGUGAAAAAGAACCUGAAACCGUGUACGUACAAGCAGUGGGAGCACCUUCGGGUGUGACUGCGUACCUUUUGUAUAAUGGGUCAGCGACUUAUAUUCUGUAGCAAGGUUAACCGUAUAGGGGAGCCGCAGGGAAACCGAGUCUUAACUGGGCGUUAAGUUGCAGGGUAUAGACCCGAAACCCGGUGAUCUAGCCAUGGGCAGGUUGAAGGUUGGGUAACACUAACUGGAGGACCGAACCGACUAAUGUUGAAAAAUUAGCGGAUGACUUGUGGCUGGGGGUGAAAGGCCAAUCAAACCGGGAGAUAGCUGGUUCUCCCCGAAAGCUAUUUAGGUAGCGCCUCGUGAAUUCAUCUUCGGGGGUAGAGCACUGUUUCGGCUAGGGGGUCAUCCCGACUUACCAACCCGAUGCAAACUACGAAUACCGAAGAAUGUUAUCACGGGAGACACACGGCGGGUGCUAACGUCCGUCGUGAAGAGGGAAACAACCCAGACCGCCAGCUAAGGUCCCAAAGUCAUGGUUAAGUGGGAAACGAUGUGGGAAGGCACAGACAGCCAGGAUGUUGGCUUAGAAGCAGCCAUCAUUUAAAGAAAGCGUAAUAGCUCACUGGUCGAGUCGGCCUGCGCGGAAGAUGUAACGGGGCUAAACCAUGCACCGAAGCUGCGGCAGCGACACUAUGUGUUGUUGGGUAGGGGAGCGUUCUGUAAGCCUGCGAAGGUGACCUGUGAGGGUUGCUGGAGGUAUCAGAAGUGCGAAUGCUGACAUAAGUAACGAUAAAGCGGGUGAAAAGCCCGCUCGCCGGAAGACCAAGGGUUCCUGUCCAACGUUAAUCGGGGCAGGGUGAGUCGACCCCUAAGGCGAGGCCGAAAGGCGUAGUCGAUGGGAAACAGGUUAAUAUUCCUGUACUUGGUGUUACUGCGAAGGGGGGACGGAGAAGGCUAUGUUAGCCGGGCGACGGUUGUCCCGGUUUAAGCAUGUAGGCUGGUUAUCCAGGCAAAUCCGGAUAAUCAAGGCUGAGGUGUGAUGACGAGGCACUACGGUGCUGAAGUAACAAAUGCCCUGCUUCCAGGAAAAGCCUCUAAGCAUCAGGUAACAUCAAAUCGUACCCCAAACCGACACAGGUGGUCAGGUAGAGAAUACCAAGGCGCUUGAGAGAACUCGGGUGAAGGAACUAGGCAAAAUGGUGCCGUAACUUCGGGAGAAGGCACGCUGGUGUGUAGGUGAAGUCCCUGCGGAUGGAGCUGAGACCAGUCGAAGAUACCAGCUGGCUGCAACUGUUUAUUAAAAACACAGCACUGUGCAAACACGAAAGUGGACGUAUACGGUGUGACGCCUGCCCGGUGCCGGAAGGUUAAUUGAUGGGGUUAUCCGUAAGGAGAAGCUCUUGAUCGAAGCCCCGGUAAACGGCGGCCGUAACUAUAACGGUCCUAAGGUAGCGAAAUUCCUUGUCGGGUAAGUUCCGACCUGCACGAAUGGCGUAAUGAUGGCCAGGCUGUCUCCACCCGAGACUCAGUGAAAUUGAACUCGCUGUGAAGAUGCAGUGUACCCGCGGCAAGACGGAAAGACCCCGUGAACCUUUACUAUAGCUUGACACUGAACAUUGAGCCUUGAUGUGUAGGAUAGGUGGGAGGCUUUGAAGCGUGGACGCCAGUCUGCGUGGAGCCAACCUUGAAAUACCACCCUUUAAUGUUUGAUGUUCUAACGUUGGCCCCUUACCGGGGUUGCGGACAGUGUCUGGUGGGUAGUUUGACUGGGGCGGUCUCCUCCCAAAGCGUAACGGAGGAGCACGAAGGUUAGCUAAUCCUGGUCGGACAUCAGGAGGUUAGUGCAAUGGCAUAAGCUAGCUUGACUGCGAGCGUGACGGCGCGAGCAGGUGCGAAAGCAGGUCAUAGUGAUCCGGUGGUUCUGAAUGGAAGGGCCAUCGCUCAACGGAUAAAAGGUACUCCGGGGAUAACAGGCUGAUACCGCCCAAGAGUUCAUAUCGACGGCGGUGUUUGGCACCUCGAUGUCGGCUCAUCACAUCCUGGGGCUGAAGUAGGUCCCAAGGGUAUGGCUGUUCGCCAUUUAAAGUGGUACGCGAGCUGGGUUUAGAACGUCGUGAGACAGUUCGGUCCCUAUCUGCCGUGGGCGCUGGAGAAUUGAGGGGGGGCUGCUCCUAGUACGAGAGGACCGGAGUGGACGCAUCACUGGUGUUCGGGUUGUCAUGCCAAUGGCACUGCCCGGUAGCUAAAUGCGGAAGAGAUAAGUGCUGAAAGCAUCUAAGCACGAAACUUGCCCCGAGAUGAGUUCUCCCUGAGACUUUAAGUCUCCUGAAGGAACGUUAAAGACGAUGACGUUGAUAGGCCGGGUGUGUAAGCGCAGCGAUGCGUUGAGCUAACCGGUACUAAUGAACCGUGAGGCUUAACCUUACAACGCCGAAG
rnacentral:rRNA from 1 species